CAGACAGACAGACAGACAGACAGUCCCAGCUCCAGGGGGCGAAUUGCAGGAGAAUUGCAGAGCUAAAAGAGAUGCCCUGAGUGCAGAAAUUCUGCUGCAACUGUGACAUCAGAUGGCUGGAGGUGACAUUAGGAUGCCAUGCAGAACGGGACAACACCAGAAUUCACCAGCACCACGUCCCACCUGACACAACAACGAGCUUAUUUUUGGUAGAAUUAUCCUCAGCUUUAAAAAAACUCCAGAAAAUAUGGGCCACCAGCAGCAGAAAAAAAUCCCAAAACAGGAUGUUCUUAAAGUUUCCAUCGAAGAUCAGCUGCUUUUUAAUUGGUCACCAGAGGGACAGAGAAGAAAGUUGCUAAUUAUGAAAACAUCAUAAAAAUGCAAACACUGUGGCCCAGUUUUAUGGUGGCAACACCUUUCUGUGGAUGCAAGAGUGAGCCUGGAUUGGCUAAUGAAUGGAAAAAUCUUGGGAUUUUUCCUGAACAGCUCACCAAGAGGCAUCUGCAGUUAUAAAAUCAACCAUUUCCUUUGGAAAGCGAAUGGAAAUAUUUGACAAAAAUACCAUCAA